rnacentral:rRNA from 1 species
GACAGAGGCCUCGAGCGUUAGGCGGAAUCACUGGGCUUAAAGCGUGUGUAGGCGGGCCCGUAAGUGUCUUGUGAAAUCCCACGGCUCAACCCGUGGAACUGCUGGGCAUACUGCGGGUCUUGGGCCAACUAGGGGCAGCCGGAACAAGCGGUGGAGCCGGUGAAAUGCGUAGAUAUCGCUUGGAACGCCGAAGGUGAAAACAGGCUGCUGGGGUUGCGCCGACGCGU